rnacentral:rRNA from 1 species
UACGUAGGGGGCAAGCGUUGUCCGGAUUUAUUGGGCGUAAAGAGCGUGUAGGCGGCCAGGUAGGUCAGCUGUGAAAACUCGAGGCUCAACCUCGAGACGCCGAUGGAAACCCCCGAACUAGAGUCCGGAAGAGGAGAAUGGAAUUCCUGGUGUAGCGGUGAAAUGCGCAGAUAUCAGGAAGAACACCCGUGGCUAAGGCGGUUCUCUAGUACGGUACUGACGCUGAGACGCGAAAGCGUGGGGAGCGAACAGG